rnacentral:rRNA from 1 species
GACGAACGCUGGCGGCGUGCUUAACACAUGCAAGUCGAACGGAAAGGCCCUGAUUUUGUGGGGUUCUCGAGUGGCGAACGGGUGAGUAUCACGUGAGUAUCAUGCCCUUGUCUUUGGGAUAACAUCAGGAAACUGGGGCUAAUACCGGAGAGAAGCUCCUGCAGCAUGGGGGGCGUUGGAAAGUUUCGGCGGUUGGGGAUGGACUCGCGGCUUACGAGCUUGUUGGUGGGGUAGUGACUUACCAAGGGUUUGACGGGUAGGCGGCCUGGGAGGUGGGACGGCGACAUGGGGCCUGCGAGAGGGCGCAGACUCGUAUGGGAGGCAGCAGUCGGGAACAUUGCACAGCGGGCGGAAGCCUGAUGCAGCGGCGCUGCGUUCGGGAAGACGUCUUUCGGGUUGUAAACCGCUUUCGCCUGUGACGAAGCGUGAGUGACGGUAACGGGUAAAGAAGCACCGGCUAACUACGUG